AUUGAACGCUAGCGGGAUGCUUUACACAUGCAAGUCGAACGGCAGCGCGGACUUCGGUCUGGCGGCGAGUGGCGAACGGGUGAGUAAUGUAUCGGAACGUGCCCAGUAGCGGGGGAUAACUACGCGAAAGCGUAGCUAAUACCGCAUACGCCCUACGGGGGAAAGCAGGGGAUCGUAAGACCUUGCACUAUUGGAGCGGCCGAUAUCGGAUUAGCUAGUUGGUGAGGUAACGGCUCACCAAGGCGACGAUCCGUAGCUGGUUUGAGAGGACGACCAGCCACACUGGGACGGAGACACGGCCCAGACUCCUGCGGGAGGCAGCAGUGGGGAAUUUUGGACAAUGGGGGCAACCCUGAUCCAGCCAGCCCGCGUGUGCGAUGAAGGCCUUCGGGUUGUAAAGCACUUUUGGCAGGAAAGAAACGUCGCGGGCUAAUACCCCGUGGAACUGACGGUACCUGCAGAAUAAGCACCGGCUAACUACGUG
rnacentral:rRNA from 1 species